UUAUAAAACACAAAAAUAACACAACUGUCGUGAAAAGGCAUCCUUAUUUUAGCGUUGUGCGAAAUUUCGUCUCUAGAUUCCACUCCGAUGGCCUGAUAUUAACACGAUUUUCAGACCAUAUUUAUUUUUUGGUGGUUACCAAAAAAUCCGCUAUGGCCUACUCGGAGUUAUUCCGAGCAGUUCCGAAAGCCUACGAAAGUAAACGGAGCACAAGCACGUGACAGUUAUGAAUAAUCAAUGAGGUCAGCAAAUCAAAACAAAGAUGGACAGAUGAAAAUGAAAAGAGAAACAGAGGCAGACAGAGAUUGCCAAAAUCGAUCAGAAAGCGACGGUAAAUGAAAAAUGUAGGAAAGAUAUUGACGUCGAUGGUUUAUUUAGGCAUUCAUUGAAAGAAAAGGAUAGCAUUCAAAGCUUCAAAUGGAGUGGGAAAAUGGAGGGCGUGGAAACGAAACAUCACGAUAGUAUCUUUUGACAUGACGCUUCAAGACUUCGAUGUCAGGAGGCUGGUGAUGUCACAGAUUUUAACCUGGCUUGAACAUGCCAAGUGUACUGGCAUCUCAGCUGUUCUUCUCCAUCAUUUGACGGAUGAGCAUGAGUGGCCUCCCCCGAUUCAAUAUUAUGAGUAAAGUCAUGGGCCAUUGAGCCAAGAGGAGAGGAAUUCACCAUGGCUUAACAAUAAAAAAACACUUUCGUACCCUUAAAGCCCUCAGAGUGAUUGUCCUUGACAACCACCUUCCAUCAAAGAUGCAUACUAACUAGUAUACAGACUAAACCGUGCAUGGAACAAUAGAAGAGGAUGGCAAUAUUCCCCAGUAAACGCAGUGAAAGAAAAAAGACCUAUCCAUACAGAGUCGCUGAAGAAACUGAUCUUCAUGUGUCACUUGACCAACAAUUUUUCGAUAUGGGUAGAAAGGCUGUUAUGGAGAAGCACUAUCCUCGACAAAUCUCUAGCCACCUUGAACAGUUAUCUCCUUAACCAAGAAGGGAAUUGUACAGCGAGCAAGAAUCUAGGUUUAAUAAGAGACAUUUCUAGAGGUUUACUAUGUGCUCCAAUAUUCAUGAAACUUAAUGACAAUGGUCUCAUUGUUGUCUUGUUUGAAACUAGGUCACAUGUGGACUGAAUGGAAGUCACUUGAUUUUAUUUUUAAAACAUUAUAGAAUCAAACCUUGAUAUUGCUUUGUAAGAUUACAUGUGUUCAAACUUAGUGAGAAUGAUCACCUUGAUGAAAUGUUAAGG